rnacentral:rRNA from 1 species
AUUGAAUGCUGGCGGCAGGCCUAACACAUGCAAGUCGAGCGGAUGAAGGGAGCUUGCUCCUGGAUUCAGCGGCGGACGGGUGAGUAAUGCCUAGGAAUCUGCCUGGUAGUGGGGGAUAACGUCCGGAAACGGGCGCUAAUACCGCAUACGUCCUGAGGGAGAAAGUGGGGGAUCUUCGGACCUCACGCUAUCAGAUGAGCCUAGGUCGGAUUAGCUAGUUGGUGGGGUAAAGGCCUACCAAGGCGACGAUCCGUAACUGGUCUGAGAGGAUGAUCAGUCACGCUGGAACUGAGACACGGUCCAGACUCCUACGGGAGGCAGCAGUGGGGAAUAUUGGACAAUGGGCGAAAGCCUGAUCCAGCCAUGCCGCGUGUGUGAAGAAGGUCUUCGGAUUGUAAAGCACUUUAAGUUGGGAGGAAGGGCAGUAAGUUAAUACCUUGCUGUUUUGACGUUACCAACAGAAUAAGCACCGGCUAACUUCGUG